GAUGAACGCUGGCGGCGUGCCUAAUACAUGCAAGUCGAGCGAACAGACGAGGAGCUUGCUCCUCUGACGUUAGCGGCGGACGGGUGAGUAGCACGUGGAUAACCUACCUAUAAUACUGGGAUAACUUCGGGAAACCGGAGCUAAUACCGGAUAAUAUAUUGAACCGCAUGGUUCAAUAGUGAAAGACGGUUUUGCUGUCACUUAUAGAUGGAUCCGCGCCGCAUUAGCUAGUUGGUAAGGUAACGGCUUACCAAGGCAACGAUGCGUAGCCGACCUGAGAGGAUGAUCGGCCACACUGGAACUGAGACACGGUCCAGACUCCUACGGGAGGCAGCAGUAGGGAAUCUUCCGCAAUGGGCGAAAGCUUGACGGAGCAACGCCGCGUGAGUGAUGAAGGUCUUCGGAUCGUAAAACUCUGUUAUUAGGGAAGAACAAAUGUGUAAGUAACUAUGCACGUCUUGACGGUACCUAAUCAGAAAGCAACGGCUAACUACGUG
rnacentral:rRNA from 1 species